UAUUUUUCUUUAAUUUUAGUCUGUUUUAUUUCUAUUAGGCAUUAUCUUGAUUUAAGUGACAUGUCUAAAACUGUUCCUAGUUAUCUUCCUACACACAAUAUUUGAUUUCUGUAUAUUCUUGUUGUUUCCCCUUUUCCUGUAGUCCCUCCUCCCAAAGACCUGAAUAUGUGUUUGCAAUUGUAUGUGUGCUGAUCUGGUUUUCUUUCCAACAGCCUCACAGUGUUUAGCAAACCACAUUAAUCCAUUGCUUAAAUUAGACUUAAAAACAUUCCCACCCUUUCUGGAUAAAUUGUUUUGUGUCUUCCUUACACUUUGUAUCUCAAAUGGACAGGUUACAAUUCUGAUAACAAGUGGGAUCUUUGCAUAAACUAUGUUGUGAAAAGCAUUUUCAGUUGUUUUCUUUGGGUUGAAUAAUUUGGGGAGCCAGUUUAAAAAAGAAAAAUGCCUUUCCAGCAGAGUUGCUUAUUUUGUUGUCGGUGACUAGAAAAUUAAAGUACAAGUGCUUUAUCUGCCUUAGAAAACACUAUCACAAAGUGCUAGGGUGCCUUAAUCUAUCUUCUCGAGUGUGUUUUAGCUUAUUAUUCAUGCUUGAAGGACUUCAUCUCAAUACUUGCAUGAGUAACCAUAGGUACGAGCAGCAAGGAGGACAUUGCAAUAGAUGCUGUGACCAAAUGGAGACUGAUUUCAGUUGUAAAUAGACAGGCAAAUGACACAUAAAAUUCAGCUUCGAAAUGAUUAACAGAGAAAGAGAGAGAGAGGCUUUUUCCAUACCUGGUCUUUUAAAGAUUCAGUGGCAUACCUUCUUUUUCACAGAUGAAAACCAUGACAUGUGGUCUGCCAACAUCAAAUGAGAUAUAUGUGGUCAAGUUCCCAAUAGGUGAGGAUGAAGCAGUAUAUUUUUGUUUGAAUCUACAAGAAAGGACUGCCCUGCUGAGUUAACUGAAUGCUAAAUUAACUUUGCAUUUGUAACACUUUGCAACAACUGAAGUAAACUGAGGACAAAGGGGAAAAGGGGUAGAAGAGGAAAAAAACUGGGACUUUUUAAAAAACACCUGAAAAAGUAAGUCAACAGAGGAUUAACCAGGACUCUUUCUGCCAAAUUAGGUCAUUUGGAGGGUUUGAAGUAGACUCCUGGAAAGCAAGCGCCACUUGCUCUUGCAGUGAUAGGUGUCCUCUUUAAACUGGUAAGUUUUUACAACAGGGGUAUCUAACAUUUUGACUUCCCUGGGCACAUUGGAAGAAAAUGAAUUGUCUUAGGCCACAUAUAAAAUACACUAAUACUAAAGAUAGCUGAUGAGCAAAAAAGAAGAAGGAAGAGAAGAAGAGUGUUCUGUGCAGGCUUAUCAUGAUAUCCACCACCACAAAUUAGCAAAAAAAAAAGUCCUCUUGCAUAAUAAUUCUAGGUAUGGUAUACACCACACCACUUGAAAGAUCUUUUAAAAUCAUUGAGCAACACUUCUGAUUCAACUGUUUGCAAGUAUAAUGUGAUUUGUGGCUAAUAACUCCUACAUACAAUAAAUUAUUGAUGCAUUUCUCAGGGAGGAGAAUUUUCCAUCCCGUUCAAAAGAAGUAGUACUUAGACCACUACUGAAAAAGCCCUCCUUGGAUCCCCUGGAUCACCUUCUAGCCUUCCUUUUGGGGGCAAAAUGAUUGAGAAGGCAGUUGCCCUCCCAACUUCAGGCAGUCUUGGAUGACACACUUCCUUGACCCAUUUCAAACUGGUUUCAGAGAAGAAUGAGGAGUUGAGACUGCUAUGGUUGCCUUAGUGGAAGAUCUCCAUCUUAACACUGCGAAGGGGUGUGGGUUAGGGUUAGGGUUGGUGCUUCUGGAUCUCUCAGCAGCCUUUGAUACCAUAGCAUCCUUCUGAAAUGCUUGGAGAGGGUGGGAAUCGGAGGCACUAUGUUUCAAUGGUUCCAGUUUUGUACCUCUCAGGCAGGUUCUAGAAGUCAGUGCUUGGGGAUAGCUGCUCCUCAAAGAAGAAGCUGUUAUGCAGCAUCCCACAAGGUGCCAUUCUAUCCCCAAUGCUUUUUAAUAUUUACAUGAAUCCGCUAGAAGAGAUCGUCCAUUGGCAUGAGGCGGGUUGUUAUCAGUAUGAUGAUGACACUCAAAUAUAUUUCUCCAUGCCUUCAAAAACAGCCUCAACUAAGAGUAGCAUGUCUCCUAUGAAUAAAUGCCUGGAGGAGGUAAUGGACUGGAUUAGGAAAAACAAAUUGAAACUAAAUCCAGACAAAACAGAGGUGCUUGAUAUCAAGGUUCCUAAUCUGGGGGUGGAGGUGUGUCAACCAGUCUUGGAUGGAGUUAUACUCCCUCUGAAAGACCAUGUCCACAGUUUGGAAUUGCUCUUGGAUCCUUCUCUCCAAAUGUUAGCUCAGGUAAAUGCGACAGUCAAGAGUGCAUAAAAUCAGCUUUGGCUGAUAUGCUAGUAUGCCCCUUCUUAGAUAUGGAGGACCUGAAGAUGGUAGUGCAUGCUCUGCUAACCUUAAGACUGGACUUCUGCAAUGCACUUUACAUUGGGCUACCCUUGUUCCAAGUUCAGAAAAUCCAGCUGGUUCAAAGUAUGGCAGCCAGAUUCGUUUACAGAAACAUCCAGGCAUGAGCAUAUUAUACCUAUUCUAUACUGGCAGUCACUCCACUGGCUGCCAGUUAGUUUCUGGGCAAAGUACAAAGUGUUGUGUUUUGACCUUUAAAGCUCUCCAUGGUUUGUGUCCAGGUUAUCUACAGGAUUGCCUUCUCUUGUUACAAUCAGCCACACACACUGAGGUCCUCUGUGGGGCGGUUACUCCAGCCUGCCAGAACCUGACUGGUGUCCACCACCCAGAGGACCUUAUCAUUGACAGCCCCAAGAUCAUGGAACGACCUGCCGGAAAAACUCCAACACCUAAAUGAGCUAUCAGAAUUUUAAAACAAUCUAAAGCCCUAUCUCUUCCAGCAGGCCUACCCAACUAGUUUUAAUCAUAAAUUUACGACUUGUAUCUAAUGUUCAAUCUUUGUUCUGUGUAUUUAAUAUGUAUUUUAUAUAAAUAUGUUUUAAUAUCUGUCUUUUGUAGAAAUAUGUUUUUAGAUUAUUGUAUGUUUUUAGCAAUGUAACCCACCCUGAGUCACAAGGAGAAGCAGGUAAGAAAUAAAAUUAUUGUUGUUGUUUUUGUUAUAUUUGUAGAUAUAAUAUACUCUGAUUGCUCCAUUAAAUUCUGUUUUUGAAACAGGGACAUUCUGUUUUUGAAACAGCUGAAAAAGUGAUGUGACAGGAUUAUUCAGGACUGUUCCUGUCAAAUUCGACAACUUGGAGACCCAGUGGUACCAAGCUUUUGAACAAAUCUCUCUACUUCUGUGUUCAUGUGAUAUAAAGGUUUCUCUAACAUUCAUACACUCACACACUGAUUUUAACUGUUGGCUUGGUAACAGAUGCUGUUACUAUCUGGAGUGGCACAAGGGCAACAGCAGCAUUUAUCGCUUUAGUUCUUCAGGAAAGCCUCGCACUUCCUCUGACUGGCUGGCAGGAUUUAUUAACAGUGGUGUCUUCCCCAGGGCAAUGCCACAGAACUUCUCUCUUGGGUCAUGAGCUUGUCUACAUUUCUGCAAAGCCUCCUUUGCCUGUGUGCAGGAGACAAGAAUAUAGGGCAAGGUCUUGAGCAAUGCUGCAGCAGUGCUUGGGUCAUACAGGAAUUUUUCUUUCCACAUUUCUUUCCACAUAGAGUCAAAAAAAAAGGAAAGCUUGUCAUUCUAGCUCACAAUCUCAUGAAAAAAAGAGAACCUGGAAAAGAAUGUUUUCAGACCAUGACAUCUAGGAGCCAUUGGCCAUGUUGACAUGGGGAUUUCAAUCAAUCAAUCAAUCAAUCAAGAUUUUAUUAUGAUCCAUGACCAGCACAGAGAGGGGCACAACAUGCCCUGAGAUGGGGGAACACAGUUUCCUAAGGAGGCAGUCAUAAAAAAGAUUAGAAAACAGUUUUUAUUUUUUAAAGUACUGUUUAAAGACAUGGUUAACAAAGCAGUUAUAGUACCGAAGGGGGGAGUCUGAUAGGAAGGCUCAAAACACUAGGGAAGCACUAGAGGGAGAGGGAGGGGCACAUUGCAAGUCCAGCAACACCUCAACUGCAACAGGUCGCUCCAGCAGCACUCCCAACAGGGUUCUGCCCUGCGGGAUUGAUAAUAGUUCAUCGAAUUUUAAGUGCUGCAGCGCAGAACCUAGAACACUGUAAUUUAUUGUAGUGCGUCUGAGAGCAUCAGAGUGGAAUAAAAUUUUCUGGUGCACCCUGGGUUUUUAAGAAGUUGUGGAGUAAUGAAAUUAAUUCUUAUGUCUCUGUUGUCUCUGUAGAACAUGCAUUGAAGGAACACAUGUUUGAUUGUUUCUAUGUGUCCGGACUCACAUGGGCAUAAUCUCUCCUUGAAGGGGGUCUUCCGGGUGAAAGCUUGUCGUUAUUUGGGCACCUCCAGGUUUGUUAGGUCAUAAACAAAGUGUGAGUAUGUGUUGUCGAAGGCUUUCAUGACUGGAAUCACUGGGUUGCUGUGGGCUGUAUGGUAAUGUUCCAGAAGCAUUCUCUCCUGAUGUUUCGCCCACAUCUAUGGCAGGCAUCUUCAGAGGUUAUGAGGUAUAUUGGAAACUCAGUGUUGUGCUUCGAAACCGAGACCAGCACUACCAGCACUUCCAGCAGCCUAACCAGUGAUGCCACAGUCCCACUGCUUCCAGCCGUUUUACAAAACAAUGAAGAAGGGAUGGUCCUACAUACUGCAACCAAUACACUGUAUCAUCAUCACACACACUUUGGAAAGCUCUGAAUUAGGGAACCUCAUUGUCUCAGGUCUAGAAAGGGAAUAUUGGUGCCUUGUUCUGGAAAUACAGUGGCCUUCAAAGCAAAGUGAAAACCUGUGCUCCUUGGAAACCAAAUUCAUCUCUUUUCCUGUAGUUCGCAGCAGUAAACAAGCUUGCUCCAUCUUCAGUAUGACAUCACUUCAAAUACGUAAAUAUGGCUGUCAUGUCACCCCUUAACCAUCUCUUCUCUCUUCACUAAACAUAUCAAUUUCCCUAAACUGUUUAUCAUAGAUCAUGGUUUCCAGACCUUUUACCAUUUUGUUUGCCUGCCACUGGACACAUUCCAGUUUGUUAAUUUCCUUCUUGAAUUGUGAUGCUCAAAACUGGGCACAGUAUUCUAGGUGAGGGAUAUUUCUGAUUUCAAUAUCAGAGUGUGAAAGUUGGAGUCCUCAUGCAGUCAUGGCAGUUAAAAGUAGAAAACUACUGUACAUAUGUAGUCUGAAAUGGUCCUUGAUUAUCUUGGUUAUUUGACAGUCUAUUUGUGUUAUUUUGAAACACAUUAAGUGAAACACAGCAAUUGUUUUGAGGAUACACAUUUAAUAGAGAUCAAGCAAGGGGAAAAGGAAUGUUUGCACCAAAACAAAAUGAUUAUAAUAUUUAAGUAGUUUAAUAUUGUUAAAGCACUUUUGCACUUUGACUAUAACACUUGAAGAAAAAUAAGGAAGGCUCUCUGGAAAUUGCUGAAAAUAAAUUUCUCAAAUGUUGCAUGUGACAUGUGAUCAAGGAGAGAUGAAAGAACAUGAAGGGGGAGGAAUAUUUCAAGAAAGUGUUUGAAUACAAACCUAUGAAGAUGCACACACGUGUUCAAAACAAAACAAUCUGGAAAGUCUCCAUACUUCCACGGACUUUCUUAUUUUUGGAUGAGUCUUAAAUAGAAGUCUAGUCCCUCAUUGCUUUUUAUAAAUUUUAUUUUAUUAUGUGCCAUAUCCUUGCAUCAUUUAUUUGAAUGUACUGAAAUGCCUUCUAGAGUCUAGAAAUUUGGUAUACAUUGGGACAGGAAAAAAAGUAAAUCAAGAAAUGCCAAGAAAUGAAGUUUUUUCCAUCCCUACUUUGUGCUGGGAUAUGGGUUUACUCAGCAUUCUAGCAGGUGGACUGAUGGUUGCUAAACUACAAAAAAUAACUUAUAGAUGUAUCUUUUCCACUGUAAUAUUCUUCAUAUUGCUAUCCCAACAUGAGAGAUGAAACUAGAGAUAUUCCUAGCAAGGCCCUCAUUCCUCAAACUAAGGAAUUAUGGGAUUUUCAGUUUAGGAUAAAACUCUUCACCUAACUAUUAAAAUGUUUUCUAUGAGAUGGAGCCAUGGCAGUUAUUGGAAUCAUAGUGCUAUACAAUUGUGAAGACUGAAAAGGGUGACCUUGUUUCCAAGCAAGUAGUUUCCAGCCUCAUUCCGGACACAGCCUUCCAUUUUAAUAAAGCUUUUGUUGUAGGCUGAGCUUUCUUUCUAUUCACUAUUUUCUAUUUCUAUUUAAAACUUUCUGUUUGCAAUCUGAACACCUAUUGUAUCUGUUUUCUAUGCCCAGAACCGCUCUGUGUCUGGAAAAACACGGAACUAUUUCUGCAUAAUGUACAUGAUCUUUGUGUGUUGCCAGCAUUUAUACGCAUUUCUAUAUUCGGGAAUAUGCACAUUUUGUAUUUUUCUAUUA